CUGCUGCAAGAGGGAGAGGGGACUGUGGGGGGAGAUAUUACAGGGACAGCACUCUACAGCUACAGAGCUUCUCCUAAUGUACACAUAAUAUCUGUCUCUCAGUUGUGAGAGCCAACCAUCACAAUGUUAAUGUAUAAAACCCCUACUUUUCCUAUGAGUCAUUUGGCUUGAAGAAUGCGCUGCCAUUUUCAAUUCUGAUUAUCUCUCAAAAAAAUUUUAAUGAGUCAUUGUAGCAUCUGUUGAUGAUGGUGAGGACAGUGGGAACAGAAGGAAAAAAAAAUCUCAGGUUUUCCUUAGACAGACUUAUUUGGAAUGGACAAAAUGGGAUCACUGAGCUCUGGUGUGGCUUUUUGAGCCCAUCUACUGUGCCCAUGGGGUUGCUACUCAUAGCAGGUGUAUCUUAGUGCUGAGUGCAGAGGCCAACUCAGUCUUGCCUUCUGGUCCCUGUUGUAUUACAAGACAGCUGAGCAAUGGCAGAGCUCUGGGGUGCCUUUCUUGCCCCCACCUUACCAUGGAUAUGGGAUUGCUGCCCACAGCAGGGCUAUGGAAUCUUCUCCGUGGUGAACACAGGGGCCAACCUGGUCUUGCCCUCUAUUUCUUGUUUCACUCUACUUGUUGGUCCUUGAGGAAACUGCCCAUUAGGAAACCUGUUAUGGUUUCCUCAACAGAUGCCUGUAAUUCUCAUCUAUUAAAACAGGACAAUUACAUUAAUAAACAAUACAGUUCAGACUCCCUGCCCAAAGUGUUGGUUAAUCUUCAAGCUGACUGGAAGCUUGACUCCACUUUUCGGAUGUCUUCAUUCUUUGGCUCUCUCUCACCUGGUCUGCAUGUUACAGUCUGUUCUUUGGGUUUUCUCACCAGCCUUUAAUUCUGUUGCCUUGAGUCCCUCUCGCUCUGGGGUUGGCACAGCCCAUUCAGCUCUUAGGUAGAAGGAUCCUUCCAAGCCAAAAGGAUUUCUGAGGCAGUCCUAACCUGCAGCACCUGGGUGCCUUCAGGCCAUCCAUCCAAAAGGAAAAGUGACUUCUGGACCCUGAGAGAGCCCAGUGAUCUCUUGGCAGGAGAAAUCAGGAGUGGAGAAGGUGAUUCCAGCUCUGCUGGUUGCUGUUCCUCCCCAUUAGACAGGAGAGGAUCAAGCACAUUCCAUCAGCCUUUGCUUCCUCAGGGCAUGAAACCCUGAGGAGACAAGGCCACCUCAGGGCCAUCAGAUCCCACCAGGGAGAAGGAAAUGCUAAAAACAUCACCAUGGUCUCAGCCAACAAAAUGAGGAACUUUUCUUGUGGGUCCCCAACACCAUUUCCAACAAAGCCCAGCUGGUUUUGAAAAUCGCAUUCACAUUCAGGGGGCAAAACCAGUAACGAAUCACAGGCACCUGAGGUAAAAUUAGGGACACAGAAAAGAAAUUUCUCUUUGUUUUUAACAGAGGCAGAUUUUCAUCUCUUAAGCCCAAAUCUUCUCUGACACACAAAGGGACAUAAAAUACAGAAACUCUUUAGUUCCAACUUGAAACAUUUGCUUUUUGGCAAUUCUAUUUGUACAUGAAGCGUGGCUGUAUGAACACUACUGAAGCACACAAAUACUGAGACUACUACUGCAAACUGCAGAAAUUACUGAAAUUCUCUUCUACUGGCAGCAAGAGUAAACAUGUCUAAAGGUUUCUUUGUAUGGAGAGUAGCUACAAGGAAUGGUUUCAACAUUAAAAUCACCUGGAAAAAAAUGAUUUCAGGUAAAGUGUUAAAAAAUGAACACUGUUAUAGAUAUAUACUAUAGUAUUGGCUUUUUGCAAUUAUUAAAAUGGAUUCUGUAUGUGUGGUGUUAAAGUGACUUUGCUAUAAAGAUAUAGUUUAUAUUUCUGUUGCUAACUAAAACUUAGAAAUAGCUGAUAUAGAUAUGCAUGUGUUUAAAUGCCUGCUUGGUUGGGAUAAUAUCCAAGGAAUAUAUGAUGCCAGCUAUCAGCACUCAUCUUCUGAAGACAGUGUGGACCCAGACCCAAGAACUGAAGGUGAUGAUAAAAUGGACUAAAACCACAACCAAGAAAUGUGCAUGCUCUAAAAAGCAGGACUCAAGCAGGUGUUAUGCAAAGCAGUUCUUGGGGCAUGUAAACUAGUUUGGGGAAAAGUUUACAUAUGCACCAGGCUGAUACAGUAGAAAUGCUGUACAAAGGCUGGUUCCAAACCAGCAGGUGUGCUCUUGGCUGAGGGCCAAGACACAUCCAGCUGUAGCCUCUGCUUUGUUGUCUUUGUCUCCUAUUAAACUCCUACAUUUUACCAGAAGA